ensembl:miRNA predicted gene, 44397
CUUGGCAGUGAGGUGUGGGCCAAUAGCCUGGUGCAACAGGUCCCUGCACUCCAGCAGCCCAGUGGCCAGCACACGCCGGUCAAAGGUGAAGUCUACCUGGUGGAAGCUGAGGG